rfam:Asian citrus Psyllid, Diaphorina citri - Florida Strain, whole genome shotgun sequence.
AAAAAGGUCCUUUUCAGGGCCACCAAAUUUAAAUUCUAAAACAAAG